rnacentral:rRNA from 1 species
AUUGAACGCUGGCGGCAGGCCUAACACAUGCAAGUCGAGCGGAUGAAGGGAGCUUGCUCCUGGAUUCAGCGGCGGACGGUUGAGUAAUGCCUAGGAAUCUGCCUGGUAGUGGGGGAUAACGUCCGGAAACGGGCGCUAAUACCGCAUACGUCCUGAGGGAGAAAGUGGGGGAUCUUCGGACCUCACGCUAUCAGAUGAGCCUAGGUCGGAUUAGCUAGUUGGUGGGGUAAAGGCCUACCAAGGCGACGAUCCGUAACUGGUCUGAGAGGAUGAUCAGUCACACUGGAACUGAGACACGGUCCAGACUCCUACGGGAGGCAGCAGUGGGGAAUAUUGGACAAAGGGCGAAAGCCUGAUCCAGCCAUGCCGCGUGUGUGAAGUAGGUCUUCGGAUUGUAAAGCACUUUAAGUUGGGAGGAAGGGCAGUAAGUUAAUACCUUGCUGUUUUGACGUUACCAACAGAAUAAGCACCGGCUAACUUCGUG